GACGUAGGGGGCAAGCGUUGUUCGGAAUUAUUGGGCGUAAAGCGCUCGUAGGCGGGACUGGAAGUCCGUGUUGAAAGACCUCGGCUCAACUGAGGGACCGGCUCGGAUACUCUAGUUCUUGAGGCAAUCAGAGGGUGAUGGAAUUCCCGGUGUAGCGGUGAAAUGCGUAGAUAUCGUGAGGAACACCAGUGGCGAAGGCGAUCACCUGGGGUUGUUCUGACGCUGAGGAGCGAAAGCUAGGGGAGCAAACGGG
rnacentral:rRNA from 1 species